CCCUAUGGGGCGCACCAGGAUUUAAUAUGAAUGGGAACUAUAUUGUGCCGAUAAUUAUUCCUGACUCCCCCGGCGGUCUGUAAUCCAGCCGACUGACAUUCCCUACACCGGCGUCUGCGAGCAUUUCACAAAUCUGCCGUUCCGAGUAUGACUGUCCUCCCUCCGUUCCGAGUAACAUAUUGAGAGAAAACAGGGCAGGCUGGAUAGGACUGUCCAUGCCGUUGUCGAGAAUGAAUUCAUGGAUGGUAAUCAUUCCUUCGGGCUCUAAAGAUGAUACUGCCUUGCUGAUUAUCCUGCGGCAAUCUGCCGGACUUUCACCAUGCAGGAUGUGCGACAGCUAUGCCGCGUCGUAUGUACCUCGAAUAUCGUCAGUCAGGUAAUCUCCCUCCAUAAAGGAAAUGCGCGGGCCAAGACCGAAAGCAUCGAUCGUUUUUUCGGCAAAGGGUCUGGUGGUGGGC
rnacentral:rRNA from 1 species